rnacentral:rRNA from 1 species
AGAGUUUGAUCCUGGCUCAGAACGAACGCUGGCGGCGUGCCUAAGACAUGCAAGUCGUGCGAGAAAGGGGCUUCGGCCCUGAGUAAAGCGGCGCACGGGUGAGUAACGCGUGGGUAACCUACCUCGAAGUUGGGAAUAACCCGGGGAAACCUGGGCUAAUGCCGAAUGAGCCUACGAGAUCCUUGGAUCAUGUGGGAAAAGAUGGCCUCUGCUUGCAAGCUAUCGCUUUGAGAUGGGCCCGCGUCCCAUUAGCUAGUUGGCGAGGUAACGGCUCACCAAGGCUCCGAUGGGUAGCUGGUCUGAGAGGACGAUCAGCCACACUGGAACUGAGACACGGUCCAGACUCCUACGGGAGGCAGCAGUCGGGAAUCUUGGGCAAUGGGCGCAAGCCUGACCCAGCGACGCCGCGUGAGGGAUGAAGGCCUUCGGGUCGUAAACCUCUGUCGGGAGGGAAGAACGUCGGCGAGGUGAAUAAUCUCGUUGGUUGACGGUACCUCCAAAGGAAGCGCCGGCUAACUCCGUGCCAGCAGCCGCGGUAAUACGGAGGGCGCAAGCGUUGUUCGGAAUCACUGGGCGUAAAGCGCGUGUAGGCGGCCGAGCAAGUCGGAUGUGAAAUCCCGAGGCUCAACCUCGGAACUGCACUCGAAACUGUUCGGCUCGAGUCCCGGAGAGGAUGGCGGAAUUCCCGGUGUAGGGGUGAAAUCCGUAGAUAUCGGGAGGAACACCAGUGGCGAAGGCGGCCAUCUGGACGGUGACUGACGCUGAGACGCGAAAGCGUGGGGAGCAAACAGGAUUAGAUA